ensembl:snRNA U6 U6 spliceosomal RNA
CUGCUCACUUUGACAGUACACCUACUAAUAUUGGAAUAAUACAGAGUAGACUAGAAUGCACCAGAAUGACAUGAAAAUUUGAGAAGCAUUACAUAUGUGU